rnacentral:lncRNA from 8 species
AUGUACCCUACAGCCAUCCCGAAGUUGGUAGACUUGACGCUGGGCUGCUCGGGUUACACCGGUAUACAGUUAGGCCAAGGCGGCUAUGGACCAGGACGACUGACCGGGGUCAAGCCGAUACAUGUUCAUACAUCAAGGAGAAAAUUCCCUCAGAACGACUCCAGGGACCGAAAGGAUUCCAACUGGAAUGUAGAAGGAGAGGUGUCUCCUUUGUCCCGGCUGGGCUCCUCAGAUAACUACCCAGAGAGAGACGUCUGUGGGAGUCACUUCCUGUUUGAUAAGACAUGGAAGAAUGACAACAGGAUGUAUCCCAAGUAUGAUUUCAGAGAUGAGCGUCGUCCCAUGAAGCCUAACGCCUCCAUCCCUCCCCUGCCCAGAGACUACCAGAUCCACCGGUCGGGCCACCGCCACCACUAUACCCUCCACAAGGAGCUUUCCCAUGCCCCUGCUCGCCCCCGUGCCUUUGGCUCUUAUGAAGCCUAUGACCUGACAUCAGUUCCUGCCAUCCUGCUGCCAGCUGCAUCCUCGCUCAAUGGGAGAAACCCCUUCUCCUCAGAAGGCUACAAGAACAGGUACCAGAGUAUUGUUAAAGAACCAUUACAGUGUUAAAUAUACAUUAUGUCUACAUCCCAUUACAGUAUUAAAUAUACAGUAUGUCAAUAUCCCAUUUGCAACCCUAUGACCUACAGCAAGUAUUCACCCCUUAACUGUAUACAGCCUGAACUUAAAAUGGAUUCAAUUGAGAUAGUGUGUCACCGGCCUACACACAAUGCCCCAUAAUGUGGGGGCGGCAGGUAGCCUGGUGGUUAGAUUGUUGAACUUGUAACCAAAAGGUUGCAAGAUCGAAUCCCCGAGCUGACAAGGUAAAAAUCUGUCGUUCUGCCCUUGAACAAGGCCGUUAACCCACUGUUCCUAGGCCGUCAUUGAAAAUAAGAAUUUGUUCUUAACUGACUUGCCUAGUUAAAGGUAAAAUAAAAAAAUUAAAAAUGUCAAAGUGGAAUUAUGGUUUGAGAAAUAAUUACAAAUUUUACUGAACAAAAAUAUAAACACAUGUACGUUUUUGGUCCCAUCUUUCAUGAGCUGAAAUAAAAGAUCCCAGAAAUUUACCAUGCGCUCAAAAAGCUUAUUUCUCUACAAAUGUUGUGUAACAAAUUUGUUUACAUCCCUGUUAGUGAGCAUUUCUCCUUUGCCAAGAUAAUCCAUCCACAUGACAGGUGUGGCAUAUCAACAACCUGAUUAAACAGCAUGAUAGUUACACAGCUGCACCUUGUGCUGGGGGGCAAUUAAAAAGCCACUCUAAAAUGUGCAGUUUAGUCCCACAGCACAAUGCCGCAGAUGUCUUAAGUUUUUUGAGGGAGCGUGGAUUUGGAAUGCUGACUGCAGGAAUGUCCACCAGAGCUGUUGCCAGAGAAUUUGAAGUUCAUUUCUCUACCAUAAGCUGCCUCCAAUGUCAUUUUAGAGAAUUUGGGAGUACGUCCAACCGGUCUCAAAACCGCAGACCAGGACCUCCACAUCCGACUUCACCUGCGGGAUCGUCUGCGACCAGCCACCCGGACAACUGAUGAAUCUGAGGAUUAUUUUCUGUCUAAUAAAGCCCUUUAGUGGCGAAAAACUCAUUCUGAUUGGCUGAGCCUGGCUCCCCAGUGGGUGGGCCUAUCCCCUCCCAGGUCCACCCAUGGCUGUGCCUCUGCUCAGUCAUGUAAAAUCCAUAGAUUAGGGUCUAAUUUAUUUAUUUCAAUUCUCUGAUUUCCUUAUCAAAUCAAUUGUAUUUGUCACAUGUACGUGUUUAGCAGAUGUUAUUGCAGGUGUAGCAAAAUGCUUGUGUUUCUAGCUCCAACAGUGCAGUAAUAUCUAACACUCCCCAUCUAAAGGAAUGGAAUUAAUAAUAUAUAAAUAUUUGGACGAGCUAUGUCAAAGCAGCAUAGACUAAGAUAGAGUAGGAUAGAAUACAGUAUAUUCAUAUGAGAUGAGUAAUGCAAAAUAUGUAAACAUUAUUAAAGUGACUAGUGUUCCAUUAUUAAAGUGGCCAGUGAUUUCAAACCUAUGUAUAUAAGGCCGCAGCAUCUAAUGUGCUAGUGAUGGCUAUUUAACAGUCUGAUGGCCUUGAGAUAGAAGCCGUUUUUCAGUCUCUGAGGCCAAUGUAACUGUUUUAAAAGUCACCAGAGUUGAAUGGUUGUGAUGGGAGAAAACUGAGUAUGGAUCAACAACAUUGUAGUUACUCCACAAUACUAAACCUAAAUGACAGUGAAAAGAAGGAAGCCUGUACAGAAUAAAAAAUAUUCCAAAACAUGCAUCCUGUUUGCAAUAAGACACUAAAGUAAAACUGCAACAAUUUUUGCAAAGAAAUUCACUUUAUGUCCUGAAUACAAAGUAUUAUGUUUGGGGCAAAUCCAACACAUCACUGAGUACCACACUUCAAAUGUUCAAGCAUGGUGGAGGCUGCAUCAUGUUAUUGGUAUGCUUGUCAUCGGCAAGGACUACGGAGUUUUCAACAGGACAAUAACAUAAAACACAAGGCCAAAUCCACACUGGAGUUUCUUACCAAGAUGACGUUGAAGGUUCCUGAGUGGCCUAGUUACAAUUUUGCCUUAUAUUUCCUCACCUAUGGCAGGAAUGAAUGGCUGUCUAGCAAUGAUCAACAACCAACUUGACAGAGCUGGAAUAAUAAAAAAAAUAAGAAUAAUAUUGUACAAUCCAGGUGUUCUAAGCCUUUAGAAACUUAGCCUGAAGGACACAGAUUUAAUCGCUGCCUAAGAUGAUUCUAACAUGUAUUGACUCAGGGAGUGUGAAUAAUUUUUGUAAAUGAGAUAUUUUGGUAUUUGCAAACAUUUCAAAAUAAAUUUUCGUUGUCAUUAUAGGGUAUUGUGUGUAGAUGGAUGAGAUAAAAAAAAAAAUAAUAUAUUUAAUCCAUUUUGAAUUCCGGCUGUAACACAACAAAAUGUGGAAUAAGUCAAAGGGUAUGAAUACUUCUUGAAGGCCCAAAGGACCAAACGACACUCCAUAUUGGUCAAAUGUGCUGCACGAUAUGGGACCCUCGUACUCAAAUCUGGACCUCGAAGCCAGUUCCACUGCUUUAAACGGGCACUGAUUUAGACCUGGGACACUAGGUGGGUGUAAUUAAUUAUCAGUUAGAACAGAAAACCCAUCUGGCUCUGGACUUCGUAGGGUAAGAGUUGAAUUCCCCUGACGAAUAGGGAAUAGGUUGCCAUUUGAGAUGCAUAUCUACAGUAUAUAGAGUAUGCUAGUACCAUAUGUAGCAUAACAUCACUAGUUUUGGUGGUAACUUGUCUUGUUGCUCAUUCUGUUCUCAGACCAAGAGUAAAUAACAGAACCUGCAGUCUUUUCACAAUAGGAGCUAAUCAGAAAU